rnacentral:lncRNA from 1 species
GUCGGCUCCCGAGAGCCAGCGGAGACCCCUGCCCUCCUCCGGACAACGCGGCGAGGUCCAGCCCUCGCCGGGCCGUGCGGGUCCCUGCCGGGGGCGCUCUGAGCUCCCGCCUCCGCGGACGCCCUGAGCCUUUCGGAGUCGCCUUGAGGAGGAGACGCAGCUCGUCAUGAGCUCCCAGAGCCACCCAGGUAAGCUGGGCCCCGUGCCCCCCACAAAGGCUCCCCGGCAGCAACGAAGGCCCCACGGAGACGCGGGCCUGGUCUCCGCCUUGGCUCGCGAGCCGCCGUGUGUGCAGGUCACCUGGGCUCUGGGGGUGCCUUUCCUCUCCAGCCGCUUUGUGUCUGGAGGCCAGGGGUGGGGGCGGCACUGACUCUGGGCCGGGCCUCGGGCCGAGUCUGAGAAGGAACACGAUUGGUGCCCAUCGGUGGUGGCCACGGGCAUCACUCCUGGUGCCCAAGGCCUUUAUUCGGUGCUGUGCCAAGCAUCUUAACUGCAUUGAGUGUUACAGGCCUGCCACCUGGUCGGGAGCAGUGAUUCGUCUGAGGUCACAGAGCUAGUAGGUGGCCGAUGGGAUCAGAACCGUGGUUGUGUGGCUUUUGGCUUCCCAGGUGUGUUGUGGACACGCCCUGGGGACUUCUCCUGCCCCCUCAAGGUCACAGAGCACCCUCCCAUGAAGCGGGGGACCCCACCUUGUCCCGCCUGCUGGACCGCCUCCUGGCCACUGGCGCUGUGCUGCCCAGGCUGCUGCCACGGCCAGCACAGUGUGGUCUCCGGGGCGCUCCGAUGUCAGUCUGUCCUGCGUCCUCCUGCCAGGUGCUGGGCGUGCUUGAGGCGCCUGCACCCAUGUGGCUCGGGCUCCGGCUCAGCGGGGGUCGGGCUUGGCCUGGUCUCUCCCUGGGGAUCGGUGUCCACACGUGCAGCCCCUGUCCUUGGGCCCACGGGAGUGGUCUGCCUCGCGAGAGCCGGAUUCCGGUUCAGUGUAGGUGGGUUGAUCGCCGGAGGAGCAGGGCGGGUGGAAGUCCGGGUGGAAGCGUGUAAGGUGUUCCCGGACAGCGCCCAGCCGUCUCCCUCUGGUGCCCCCCACCCCGGGCCUAGACAGCAGGGCCAGUCACGCGCUCUCUGUGGGGUUCUGCGUCUUACCUUCCUUUUCAUUUCAGUGCGUUCGGAGCAUCUGUUGAUGUCGGUUUGUGCAUAGAACAAACUUGUUUGGGUAGCUCGCUGUGGUGGCGGCAGUGGACACAUCAGCCCACACUGGCCUCGCACAGGCAUCAUCCGUCUGUUGGGAACGUGCACAUCCCUCGGUAUCUCCGUGGGUUCACACGCAGCGGAAUUCCCAGGUCGGUGGGCAGGUGCGUUUAACGCUUGACGCGCCCUCUCACUUUGCUCCGGCAGCUCUGUCUCAGCGUCUCCGUCCUGGUGUGCGAGCAGCCGUCUGUCCUUCCUUUGCACCAGCACUCGGGGGACUCAGGCUCUUUCCUGCUUGUCAGCGGGCUGGGGAGAGUGAUGCUUGGAAUUUACGUUACUGGGGGUGCGGGCGGACGUUUCCGUAUGAGCAGCUCUAGACACGGUCACCUCUCAAACACGCCACCAGGCGCUCGAGGAAAGAGAAUGCCCGUCCCCGCUAGUUUCGUCUUUGGUCUGACGCAGUCCUAGGAGCUCCCAUUAUGGCUCGGUGGUUACGAACCCAGCUAGUGUCCAUGAGGAUGCAAGUUCGAUCCCUGGCCUCGCUCCAUGGGUUACGGGUCGGCGUUGCUGUGAGCUGCGGCAUAAGUCACAGACGCGGCUCAGAUCCCGUGUUAGUGUGGCUGUGGUGUAGACUGGCGGCUGUAGCUCCAGUGGGACCCUGGCCUGGGAACCUCUAUAUGUCGCAAGUGCAGCCCUUAAGGAAAGCAAUCUACAGCGUACAUCAGCGGUUCAGAAAUACGCAGUUGACCCAGGAAUAGCACAGGGGCCACUUGCACGUCCGUGUGUCGUUUACAGUGGGCCCUCUGCAUCUGUGGCUGAUUCCGUGAUCUCGUGCCCGAGGCGGCCCCCGGCCUCGGGCGGUGGAGCUGCUUUAAGCAAAUCCGCCGUGAGUGGGUCCUCGCAGUCCAAGCCCCUGUUCCUCAAGGUCCAGUUGACGUCUGUGUAGGAGAACAUGAAUUUUUCUAUUGUUCCCAGUUGGUCCUUUUUCUGUCGGUACCAAGUGAAUCGCGUUGUUUCAAUCGCUGGAGCUUUGCUGUUUCUUGUCUCCUUGUUUUCUAGAGAAGUGUGUGCUUUCUACUCUAUUGUUUGUAAUAUUCUUUUCACAAAAAGACCAUUUUAUGGGCUGUUUUUUGCUUUCUGUAUUCCAGUGUGUUUUCCGCUGCUUCAAAACUAUGGACUGUCGGGAGUUCCUGUUGUGGCUCAGCUGGUUAAGGACCUGGUUUUGUCUCUGUGAGGAUGUAGGUUCAAUCCCUGGCCUUGCUCUGGGGGUUAAAGACUCGGUGUUGGCGUGGCUUUGGUGAGGGUGGCAGAUGUGGCUUGGCUCUGGCGUGGCUGUGGCUGUGGUGUAGACCGGCAGCUGCAGCUCUGAUCCAGCCCCUAGCCUGGGAACCUCCAUAUGCUACAGGUGUGGCCC